rnacentral:lncRNA from 1 species
CUUCCUCUUGAGUUCUUUGCCUUCCAAAAUGAUAAAGAAUAACGAGGAUAAGUCCUCCAAAAAUAGAAAAAUCCUGUGAUUCCUCGGUAAUUAUUUCGGCUACCAAAAGCUUAUCUUUUGGGUUUGUCGAAGAGAGAGAGAGUGAGGAUGAGGAUAAUAUACUCUUCCACAUGCUUUUUUUUAGUCUAUGGAUUAUACCUUUCUUUUGGUUUCAAAAACCCAAAUUCAGAUUUCCAUUUUUCCUUUAAGUUCAUCAUCGGUAUGAAAUCCUAUUAGAAGGAUAAAUGUUGUUGUGUUUUUGUGGAUGCUGCACAUUUAAGUGUGUUUGAUCGGGAAAAUUAGACUAAUUUUGUUGUCAUUACAUUAUGUAUUGUCUGGACAUGAGCUAA